rnacentral:lncRNA from 1 species
CGCGUCGGGAGCUGCAGUCCGAGGGCCGUCAGCGCCGAGGAACCGCAAGGGGCGUUGACUGGAGGCCCUGGGGGUCCUCGCGGUGCGGAGGCCUGGCCCUGCUCACACGUGGUCUGUGGCUGAGAUAGCACUCAGCCACAGGUGGUUUCUGAGGCUGGUGACCUUUGAGGAUGUGGCUGCGGACUGCACACUGGAGGACCCUGUACUUGAGCGGAAUGAGACGUGGAGGUUCUGCAUCACCUCGUCUUCCUGUCUCCUUUGGGACCCCACAGGUGAGCUGCAUGCUUUGCCCCAGUGUUUACAUGGAGCCUGUGGGGCCUCUGCCUCCAUUGGGGCUAGCCAGGGAGGCUGCGUGGCUUUCCAGUACAUGUCUCGGUGCCAGCCAUUUCUCCUGCCACCACAGAGCCACCGCUGGUCCUGUUCACAAUCCUACCCUUUGUUGGGGGCCACAGACCUGGCCUGAGGGUUCUGCCUCUGGCUGCACUAUGUCUCCUUGGAGACCCUGUGGAGAAGGGCCUGUCAGGUGGCAGCACUGGUCUCACAAUCCCAAGUUUCUGUCUGUGGUGCUGGGGAUUGAAUUGGAAUCAUGCAUGCUAGAAAAGUAAAAGUGCUCUAAUCCUGAGCUUACCUCUAACUUCUCAACUUUUCUUUUUUUUUCUGUCAUACUGAGGAUUGAAUCCAGGUCCUUCACACUGAGCUACAUCACCAGCACCUUUUAAUUUUUUGUUCAGAGACAGGGUCUUGGUGAGUUGUUAAGUUACCCAGACAGGGCUCCAGCAUGCAAUCACCUGCCUUGACCACCCAGAGUGCUAGAAUUAGUCAUGUACCACCACACCUGUGUUCAACUUUCCAUUCCUUUUUUUUUUUUUGGACUGGGAGUCAAACUCAGAGCCUUGUGCUUGCCAGGCAGGCACUGUGCCACUGAGCUACAUCCCCAGCCAAGUUUCCAUUCUUUACAUCCAAGCCUUUAUCCUCCUCUGGAUACCAGGUGUAGGCAGGCAUGACUUGCAGAUUGUAUCUCCUGGGGGGUCUGAGCAUGUGUGUCACCCUGCACUAGAUGCUGGCUGGUCAAAGUGUGGUCACAAAGUGUCCCCAGGCCCCAGAUCUGCUGCCUGCAGGCAAGUCUCUGCAUUUUCUCAUCCCUGCCCUAGGAACUGAGCACUGGGGUGGGAUGUGGGUGUAGAGGAGUCACAGGAAGAAGAUGGAGACAAACUUGUGUGGAUGGCAUCUCCAGAAACAUGGUGUGCUGGGCUCUGGCUUGUCCUCUGCAAUGCUGUCCUGGGGUGGAAGGGCUGGGCAGGAUGGAGAGGGAGGGCAGACCUGCCCCAGGCCAGACCUCAACCCAGAAGUGCCCCCAGCCCACAGCCUUGUCCCCAGGCCCAGCCACCCCGUCUGACCACCCUGGGCCUGCUCUCCUUGACCCCAAGCAAGGCCCUACUGAACAUCUACCUGAGUGUCAAGUGUGUCCCUGGGUACCUCACAGUUCUCUGCCCCUGAGCAAAGGACUGAAACAAGACCAUUUUCGCCCUCUGCCUCACAAGCGGAAGGACUCGAGUUCGAUCACCGGUACCAAAAAAAACAACAACACAAAGAAACAAGACCAUUUUAUGGAAGGAAAAUGAAGGCACUGAGCAUCUCUGGGAAGCAAAUUCCCCCAGUACCACCUACCCAGGACUAGACCUCCAGCCACCAUGAAGACAGCAGUGCUCAAGUGGAUGGAUGGGGUGGCUGGUACCCCAUUAAGGCACCCAUGUGGACAGUGGUGGGGUGACCCACAGCCCCUGGAAUUAGUCUGGGAGUGGGAUGCCCCCACUGGGCACUGCUGUGGGUAUCCAGACAGCUGCUGUGGAUCUGGCUGCUCAGGGAGAAGGCAGCUUGUAGCAGGAAGCCCAAGACUUCCAGGCCCACUGGUGGUCAGGCCCAGCUCAGCCUUGAUAACAGGAUAGCAUGGCACCUGCCCAGGCAAAGCUUUUGUCAAACAGAACAACAAACACCUCAUAGUGUCCCUAAGGCACCUCCACCUCCACGUCUUCCCUCCCAGCUCCAGGCAGGGCAAGGGGCUUGGGGCUCUGCAGGAAGUGGUUUCUUGAUUUGAGUCUGAGGCUUCCGAUUUUGCCUCUGGGAUGAAGCUGCUCCAACAGGAUGACCAGGCUGGGUCUCUGUGGGUAGACACAGGGCUGUGCUCCCCUAGUUUCUUGUCGAGUCCCCUAAUGUGGGCAGAGUGGGCUGAGGAACAGCAAGUCCAGGCAGUGCUAGCAGGGAUGGGGAGCAGCUCUGAGUGACAGCAUCAGCUCAGGUUUCCUAGGGGCCUUUCGUGCCUCCUCCAGCACCCAAGAGAAAGGGACUCGAUCGCCCUGCUUGCAGACUGGGAAUCCAGCAGAGUAAGUAAAUCAAAUGCUGUGGUGCCAGUUACUGGGAGGCAGGUAUUUGGACCUCUGUGACAUCAGAAAUUUUUUUUUUAGAGAGGUCUGAGUCUUCAGCUCCAUCCAAUAAAUGCAGAGGGCCAUUAAUCCCAUUUAGAGUGGGCUCUACAAUGUCCUGAGAUGGCAGCUGCGAUCUGGAAUGGUGCCAGCAGCCCAGUAGCUCCUGAGCACUAGAGACAUUGCUGUCGAGCUGCAACUGCUACUGUAAUUUCAUUUUUCUUGUGCUGGGGAUUGAACCCAGGGCUUUGCACAUGCUAAAAUGUGUCCAACCACCGAGCUAUGCUUCAACUCCUGUACUUUUUAAUUUUUUUUGGUACCGGGAUUGAACUCAGGAACUUGUGCUUGCGAGGCAGGCACGUUGUCACUGAGCUAAAUCCCCAGCUGUACUUUUAAAAAUUUAAUUAACUGCAG